GGUAAAAUUUUUAUUUAAUUUUUUUGUCUGAUCAGCCUUGAAGCUAGAAUAAAGAUUUACAACUCUCUUCAAGAUUGCAACACAUCCCAGGCCCAAUUAGAUACACAAAUUCCAACACACGUCAGUAUCCAUUAUUCUUUUCAAGAUUGUUGCUUCCCCAGCCCAAUAAGGCACAGACAUUGAUAAAACAAACAAGGGCCGUAUGACACCCAUUUUGCGUCUUGUUAAAUUGUUAUUGGCC
rnacentral:misc_RNA from 1 species